UUCAUCCUACGGGGGGCAGCAGUAGGGAAUCUUCCACAAUGGGCGAAAGCCUGAUGGAGCAACGCCGCGUGGGUGAAGAAGGUCUUCGGAUCGUAAAACCCUGUUGUUAGAGAAGAAGGUGCGUGAGAGUAACUGUUCACGUUUCGACGGUAUCUAACCAGAAAGCCACGGCUAACUACGUGCCAGCAGCCGCGGUAAUACGUAGGUGGCAAGCGUUAUCCGGAUUUAUUGGGCGUAAAGGGAACGCAGCCGGUCUUUUAAGUCUGAUGUGAAAGCUUUCGGCUUACCC
rnacentral:rRNA from 1 species